GUGAAGUCGUGUCCCCUAAUUGUCCCCAAUCGACUUUACCGUGUGGUCACUGGCCUGUCAGGUCUCCCGUGGCCUGAGCACAGCGCCAGCACCGGGCGGGCGCUCCGUGCAGGUGGGGAGCCCACGCCUUGGCCUCCGGCCCGCGCACACCCUGGGAAAGCAGGGAGUGCUGGGGACCUGGGCAGCCCCAGCCGGCGGCUCUGUGGGCCGACCCCUCCCCUGGCCUNNNNNNNNNNNCCCCGGCUCCCGCCCCGCCCCGCCCCUCCCUUCUCGCCGCGCCUCCCCAGCACCUGGUGGCCACUGGCGGAUCUUGGGCUUCGGGUCCCACCCGCCGCGUUUCCGCGCCUUUCUCUGCCUCUCAUCUGUCUUUCCCCAGCUCUGUUUGGUCUCGGUCGUCCCGGCGGUCCGGGCCCGAGGCGCGAUGAGCGGCGACUGCACCGGCUACUUGAGCGCCAAGCAGGAGGUGGUGCACGGCUUCAGCUGCCCGCGCCCGGGGGGCGAGGUGACCAACAUCUUCUGCUGCGGCUUCCGCGACCACAAGUACUGCUGCGACGACCCGCACAGCUUCUUCCCUUACGAGCACAACUACAUGUGGUGGCUCAGUGUCGGUGCUCUGGUGGGCCUGUCCAUAGCAGCAGCAGUCCUCCUGGCCUUCAUUGUCACAGCCUGUGUCCUUUGUUACCUGUUCAUCUGCUCAAAGCCCCGAAAGAAGCUGGACCCAGGCUUAAGCUUACAGAUGACAGGGAUCGAACUCAGGACCUUGUGCUUUGGAGGCAGGAGCCAGAACCACUGAGCUAAAUCCCCAGCCCCUCAUAAAUCUUUUUUUGCAUACAUUAUUAGAACCUCCUGCAAGAAACUGAAACAUACCAGUCCCUACUGGCAAAAGAUCUUUCUGAAGCCAAGCAUGGUGACACACUGCUGUAAUCCCAACACUUGGGGAGGUGGAGGCAGGAUUGCAAAUUCAAGUCCUGCCUGGGUAACUUAGUGAGACUCUGUGCUCUCUUUGCUCAGUGCAAAGGCCUUGCAUUCAAUCCUGAGUCACAACAACAACAACAAAAGUAUUAUUACCUCCAUUUUACAGAUUGAGAGAGGUUGGAUGACUUGCCGAAAGUGACACAGCUAACAAAUGGUGAGGUAAAAUCCAGCCCGUGCCCUUCUGCUUCUAGUCAUGUUCUUUCUUCCGUCCACCGCACAGUCUGUGGAAGUAUAUAAAUAAGGACAAAAUUGUUUGAUACCAAAUGCAUUAAUGAUUACUGUCAAGUUAGUGAAGAAAAUGAUUAGGCAAAAUAGAGGAGGAAAGGUGUCCCAAAGAAGGGCAGAUAAAGGUAAAGAUGUGUGGGCAGGAGUGAGGGAGAGGUAGGCCAUGCCUGGGUCAUUCAUGCUGGGGCACUGUGGGGAAGAUGGCCCAGCAGGAUGGGGGAGGAAUUUCAGCUAAGUCGAGGUGGCAAGAGUGGCAAACCUUGGGGAGGAGGAAGAGGGCAGGUGGAUAGUUGCUAAGCCUCAGGGGAAGGACAGGGCUGAAUGCCAUCAUUUAUAAAAGGUUACUUUUCUAAUUUAACAAUACAUAUGCAACAAGGGAUAGCCCAAGAAACCAUCCCAGACUCUGACGACUGUCUGCAGGGAUGAGCCUGCAGUGUCUAAGCAUUGGAAAGCAUGAGGUGCAGGAAUUCCUGGGAGGCAGCAGCAGUGGGACAGAGGAAAACCUGAACAUAAUGAACAAACUGGCAGAUCUGCCUAAAUCAAAUACAAAGAAUAUAAAAGAUACACAUAUAAAGUUAAAAAACAACUGAUGGACUGUAAAGAUAUAGAUAGAUAGAUAGAUAGAUAGAUAGAUAGAUAGAUAUGCAUAUAUAUAUAUAAAAUCAUAAAUACACACACUCUUAAUCACUUUUUUUUGUUUUUUUUUGUACUGAGGAUUGAACUCAAGUCCUUGUGCUUGAGCAGCAGGGGCGAAACCACUGAGCUAAAUCCUCGGCCCAUAUACACACUCUCAGUCAAUCUUCAUUAUUCUCAGAUCCCAUAUUUGCAAACUUGCCUACUUACUAAAAAGUAUUUAUAAUCUCUAAAUCAAUGCUUAAGGCACUCCCAAGGUCAUGUGCAUAGUGGCAACAGAUUUGAGGUUCACAUGUUCCCAGUUAGCAUUGAACAAGACGAUCUUCUGGCUUUUGUUUCAGCUAUCAUGCUGUAAACAAGCGUGCUCUUUGCAGUCUGUUAAGUGCCAUGUUGGACACAUUUUUGUGGUGUUUGUUAAUUAUUUCACUGUUUAAAAUGGUCUCCAAGCAUGGUGCACCUGAGGACACCAGAAGGCUGUGCUGUGCCUUUGCAGAGAAAAUCCAUGCGUUAGAUAAACUUGAUUCAGGCACAAGUUACGGUACUGUUGGCUCUGAAUUCAAUGUUUGUUUGUUUGGGUUUUUUUUUUUUUUUUUUGGUACCAGGGAUUGAACUCAGGACCUUGCACUUGCAAGGCAGGCGCCAAGACCACUGAGCUAAAUCCCCGGCCCUCUGAAUUCAAUGUUAAUAAAUCAAAACCAUAUGUUAAAUAAGGUGUCUUUAAAUAGAAACACACAAAGUAUUAAUUAUGUAAUUAAGUAUGUAAGUAUGUAUUAAUUAUUAUUAAGUAUGUAAUUAAGUAUGUAAGUAUGUAUUGAUCAGUUGACAAAAACACUGUGACCAGAUGCACACAAGAGCCAACCUUGUAUUUCUCCAGAGAGCAGUGAUUCGGUACUUGCUACUUCAGUGUUUGUGUUGAUUUCAUAGAAUAUAACUAUUGUGAGGAAUAAGAUUGGCUGUCUUAAAAACAAGACAGGAUUGGGCCAGGGAUUUAGCUCAGAGGCACUGUGUCUGCCUUGCAAGCUCAAGGUCCUGAGUUCAAUCCCCGGUGCCAAAAAACAACAACAACAAAAAACAAGACAGGAUUGAUAUCCAGAAUACAUAGCUACACCUUUAAACAAUUGAUAAAAAUGCAAUCUACAAAAAAAGAAGAAAUACAAAUGUCCAAUACAAGAAGACAGGAUGCUCAACCUUUCUAAUAAUCCAGAGAAUGCAAUUUAAGAAUGAUGCACCUGGCCAGGGAUUUGGCUCAGUGGUCCACCACCUGCCUCGCAAGCACAAGGACCCAAGUUUGAUCCCUGGUACAAAAAAAAAAGAACGACACACCUUUUUUAAACAGUUACGUUGGCCAAAGUCCAGAGAUAGAUCAUAUUAGUAGCGAAAAAGUUAGAGGAAGAGACACAUACUCUCACAUAAUGCUGUUAAGCGUGCACUAAUUUGUAGAGCAAUUUGACAAUAUAUACUUAAAGUAAAAAUGUGUACACUGUAUAACUCACCAAUUCCAUUUCUAAUUUUCUGCCUUAGAGAAAGAGUUCCAUUAGAAGAGGAUUUUUGGGCCGGGGAUUUAGCUCAGUGGUUAUGCUGCCUGCCUCGAAAGCGCAAGGUCCUGAGUUUGAUCCCCGGUACCAAAUGAAAACAAGAAAGACUGGCUACAGAGGUCCUUGGAGAAAGGCCAGUAGGCACAGCCAUAGGCACAACCCUGGCACUAAUCUUUGGUUUGCUGUUUUCAUUGUGUGGUCUUAAGCAAGUUUCUUUACUCUAGGCCUCAGUUUACUCUGUAAAAUGUCCAUAGUCAUAGAGCACUUGCCUUGCAUGUACAAGGCCCUGGGUUCAAUCUCCAGCAUGCACCCCCAUAUAUAUAUCUAUAUCUAUCUAUUUAUCUAUCUGUGUGUGUGUGUAUAUAUAUGUGUGUGUGUAUGUGUGUAUAUAUAUAUAUAUAUUUGCAAAAAUUAGAAAUUAUGCUCACAUGGUACAGAUGUAAGACUUUCAGAUGGUGGACUUUCAAUAAUCAGUCAGUCUUUCCCUCUCUUUCUCUCUCUGUGUUGUGGUGCUGGGGAUCAAACCCAGGGCCUCACACAUGCUAAACAUGUGCUUUACCACUGAGCUACAUCCUCAGCCCCAAUACAGUUCUUGUUGAAUUAUUAUUAGGCACUUAGAUUUUUACCUGUUGAUCUUCUCAAAGACACUGCUAGGAACCAUGUAUUAAAUGCCUUUGUAUCCCCAGGACCCUGCACAGGACCUGGACCAGGGCUGUGCUUGCUCUGUGGAAAGAAUACAAGCUUUGAAAUCCAGCAAAAUAAAAAGUAAAUGGUGGAUCCAAUACCUAGUAGCUAUGUUAAUGUUGAUUUUCUCUGAGUCUCCAUAGUAUGGAAUAAUACCCCCCUCAGACACUUGUUACAGAGACUUGUUAGGAGAAUCAAAUAAGAUAAUUAUACCAAUGCAUUUUAGCCAUUUAGGAAACAUAGAUCUUUUUAUCGUAACUUUAAAAUAGAACUCGAUAUGUUUGCUUGUAGGUUUCCUUCUUUCUCAAGUACCUCUUGGCUAAAAAAAAAAGCCAGCAGUUUUUCGAAGAUAGUUUUCAAAGAUCUGCCACUACCCCAAGCACUAUCAUCGGAUUUUAAUAACUUGUAUUACAUACUAGCCGAAGGAAGAGUUGGGAAUGUGUGAGACUGGCUGAUUCCCUUGGUUUCUCUACAGACCUGAGGUUAUGCAUUUAAGGGCCCCAGGAUACAGAUGUGAGGGAAGCCCUGGACUCUGGGAAAGAGCCAUGUAUAAAAGACACCCUGGGUCCACAAGCCCAGUGUAACCCACAAGUGUGAUGUGGCUGCUAAAAAAGGAGUAUGAAUCUCAAGUCCCAACAGAAGUACAAAACCUGGGGUCAGGGAUUUAGCUCAGUGGUUUCGCCGCCUGCUGCACAAGCGCAAGGAUCCGAGUUCGAUCCCUGGUACAAAAAAAAAAAAAAGUACAAAAAGUACAAGCAAAAGAGCCAUGGUCCUUCUUCAUUCUCAGUUGGACAAGACAAACCGGUCUUCACAUCUUAGAGGUAGCUUUUUAUCAUCUGCUCUGUAGGGUUCCAAUUUGGGAUUCUCGUUGCCUGAGGGUUCCCAAAUAUACAAACAAACAUACCAAGUGGGGAUUCUUUUUUUUGGUACCAGGGAUCGAACUCUGGUCCUUGUGCUUGCGCAGCAGGCAGCGAAACCACUGAGCU
rnacentral:lncRNA from 1 species